rnacentral:rRNA from 1 species
CGUGGGUAACCUGCCCAAGAGACUGGGAUAACACCUGGAAACAGAUGCUAAUACCGGAUAACAACACUAGACGCAUGUCUAGAGUUUAAAAGAUGGUUCUGCUAUCACUCUUGGAUGGACCUGCGGUGCAUUAGCUAGUUGGUAAGGUAACGGCUUACCAAGGCAAUGAUGCAUAGCCGAGUUGAGAGACUGAUCGGCCACAUUGGGACUGAGACACGGUCCAAACUCCUACGGGAGGCAGCAGGA